GGGUGGCCAUGAUAGUGAAAAAAUUUUACAGCAUCUGAUUGUAAAUCUACGGCUGCCGCUCGUCCCACCCAUAAUUCACUGUUACAGUAAAUAUCUUGUCUUCCGGACCUUUCUACUUCCUCCCCGAUACUGCUCUCUAGUCUCUUCCGACGUCGGCGUCGGCGAGGGAUCCGAGCACCUUGAGCACAAGCGCAUGGAGCAAAGACGAGGCAGCAUCUGGAAAGAUGAAGCUGCUGUGCAUAUUUAGGGGCCGGAUUGCAUCGUUGUCCGAGACGGGGUGCUGCGGUACGAGCGGAACAGCCGUGCCGCCGGAUGAGGAGGCGGCCGUGGAGCACGGGCCCUUCCCCAUCGAGCAGCUACAGGGCUGACUCCCUUAGCGGUACCAUCUCCCAGCUCUUGAUUCGAUCCCUACAAGAAUCAUGUUUCUUGGAUGUUCCCACCGUUUCUUGGUCGAUGGAUCCUUGGGAGGGUAGGGUUCUUGAUGCUUUCGCCCCCCUGAAACCGCGUGAUUUCGAGGGCUUGAUCAACGAUAAAUGGUCCGUUAGGAAGAGUGCGGUGCGCCAAGGUUGUUCAGCCCAUUUUUGGGGAAUGUUCCUGGGGCCUCAGGACCCCCAUGUUCUUGACUUUUUUCCUCCAUGGAAAUUCCACAAAUGCCAAGGGAAUGAAGGUUCUUCCCUCUGAUUUUCGUGUUGGUGCUACCAAAUCUUAAUUUCUGGCGUCUUUUCAAGUUGGCCUGCAAUUGUCUGGUUUGAAUUCUUUAAUUCUUCUUUCACUGAUUCAGAGUCAAUACGUAGUGUAUCAAUAACAAAUAUGUGCUUCUGCUAUUUUAAAUUAAUUCUUCACCACGGGUAUAGCUAGCAUUGAGUCACCACAUGCGUCAGUUCUUUCGAAUCUGAAAGGCACAUGAGAAUCUGAAAGGCACAUGAUAUUGUUUUGCCUUGUAUACAAGUUCAAUGCAGAAAUUAGGUACAUGUACUACAUUAUUGAAUUGUUAUGAGCAAAUGAAUGUUACAGUACACUUAAGCAAAAAAGAUGUCCACAUAUUCUGAAAGUCCACCUUCCAUGAUUUAUUUUUUCAGCAUUACAAUUGAGUUUAAGAUGCAUAUCAGUAUUCAGCAAUAGAAACUAAAAUAUAUUUUCACCUGCUAUCAAAUAUUUUUUAAUCUUCAUUAGCUUAAUUUGCUUACUAAAGCCUACAUGGGCUGUUUAUUGGACAAAACCUCUGUACUAUUCAAAAUGAUAUCUUGUGAGGCAGACCAAAUUUAUUACAUUUGCUUUAGAUAGGAGGAUUCUGAUGGUGUGGCUCAGUGAGAAAGCAUUUCUUUUACGACAAUGCUAUUGUAGCAAAUAACAAGGCAUUUUGUAUGAUACUACUAGUGUAGCGAGUAACGAGGCAUAUGCCAAGUUCCUUGCUCCUGUCAUAAAGCCAUUUAGAUCUUUGCAUCCUGACAUCUUAAUUAUUCAUAAAUUUAAACAUUAAACUGCAUUUACCUUUUGCCAACACGUGCUUCUUGUCCCUAGUAUCGCUAAAUUGAAGCUCCAUUUCUGCAGGUUAGCUCUGAUGGUUGUUGAUAGUGCCACAGUCCUAUAUAGAACUGAUUUCUCUGGUAGAGGGGAGCUAUCAGCAAGACAAAUGCAUCUGGCUAAGUUCUUAGGAGCUUUUAGAAGUUAGCAGAUGAGAUAAUCAGCUUUUACUUUGAUCACUGGUGACAAUAACGAAAUAUUACUUCUAUUGAAUUAUUUUCAUAUAUUUGAUCUUGCAUAUAUUAUGACAACUGAACAUUUAUGGAAAUGUAUUACAACCAAACCAAAUAGCAAUUAAACUUGAGUGUCUGUCUACUUACUAAAUGGAUACAGAUAGCUAGCACUUGCAAAGAUGAGACAAAAUAAUAAUAAUAAUAAUAAUAAUAAUAAUAAUAAUAAUAAUAAUAAUAAUAAUAAUAAUAAUAAUAAUAACGCCUUCUAUUGAAUAUGCAGGAACAAAAUUCAUAUUGUUGUCAACCCUGCUAACCGGAGUAUAUCUGCAACACUUUUACCUUGGUAGGUUUUACUUACUCUGAUCUAUGCUAAGACCAUUAACUGUUGCUACUGUUUUUCCCUUUUCCUUAGGAAAGAAACUAUUUCUAUAUUCUUUUAUAUCAGUUGACAUCAACAGAGCUUGUGGUAUGGAAGUAAGAUGGUGUAGGCGUGUUCUUCAGAUCUGUAACAUAUUUAUAGGGAGAGCUUAUAUGACUUUAUGUUUGCAUACAAUUGACAGCUCCUAUCAUUUUAAGUUAUUAAGAGCUCCUAUAUCAUUGUUCCCAAAGAAGCUAACUGCAUGUAGAGUUAAUGAGAUUCAAGGAUCCAUUCAGGGUGGAGAAACUCAGCUCUGGUUGCCCAGGUCUUGAAAGCUUAGGUUUCAUCAUGUUGCACAGUCAUUACAUUCAAUGUAUCAAUUGGUCAUGCUAUUACAUGUGAUUGUUUGCCCAAAACUACAACGCGGAUUAUGAUCUUCUUGUUCUGAUUCAAUGUGCAUUCUUGUGAUGUUUGUGAAGCCUAAUACUAUGCUACAAAAUGAGUGGAUCUUCACCAGCCAAGCAGGUAAAUUAUCUUUUUGAUUGUUGUCUAUAGCAACUCAUCCUCUAGCUGCUGCUGCUCCAGCAAAGUUCUGUAGUGAUAGUGUUGAACAUGAAUGGACUUAAUACCAGUUAAAAAGCACGCCAAUGUUGGUUCAGAUUAUGAAUCUUUAUAAACAUUGCCUCUUCAUCAAUUGUAGUAUCCUAUAAACGCUAUAGUUUCAUGUGAAUUUGCAAGAUUUUUUGCUUUAAUAGAUUAGUUUAUAUGACAUUCUAAGCCUCCGUUCAAUGUGAUAGAUUUUGUACUAAUAAACAUCCUAAAUGUCUAGCUGAAAUUUCUUUAGUGCAUACAGCUUGGUCCCUUUUGUUUGUAAUACCUGAAGCUUCAUCCGAUGUCAUGCCAAUAGAGCGAUAAGGGACUCAUGGGAAGAAAUACGUACAUGCUUCAAUUUGAGAGCAAAAUAUACUUCUUAUCAUUCAGAUUAAGGAGCAAUGUGCUUCCACUAUUUAUUGUCAUAAAACAAAGCAGUAUUAUGUCACAUCCUAAAUAUUAACAGAAAUAACUCUACCAUAGGCUAAAUAUUAACAGAAAUAACUCUACCAUAGCACUUUCUCUGUGCCAUUCAGAUCAAGGAGCAAAGUACUUCCACUAUUUGUUGUCAUAAAAACAGAAGCAGAAUCAUGUUACAUCCUAGAAUAUUGAUAGAAAUAACUCUACCACAGAUCUUAUGCAGCACUUGCUCUGUGAAAGCAACGAGAGGCUCCAAAAGAUUUCUGGCUCAAUUUGUUAAUGACCAAUAAAAUAUUUUAAGUGUAGCGACUCUGUAACUAUAUGCCAAUGAGCAAUAGACUGUUUAGAUAGAACUACUUCAUAACAAUGUUUUUUCUGCUAGUAGAUAUGUAUGUAUAAAAAAACAAAUAUAUACUAGCUUCCAUACUAUUGUAUGCAUAUAUGUACCUUCAUAGUUAAUUUUCUAUUUUUAAUGAAAAGAUAAAAAAAUACUACAGAUUUAUCAGUUCA